rnacentral:rRNA from 1 species
UACGAAGGGGGCUAGCGUUGCUCGGAAUCACUGGGCGUAAAGCGCACGUAGGCGGACUCUUAAGUCAGGGGUGAAAUCCUGGAGCUCAACUCCAGAACUGCCUUUGAUACUGAGAGCCUUGAGUUCGGGAGAGGUGAGUGGAACUGCGAGUGUAGAGGUGAAAUUCGUAGAUAUUCGGAAGAACACCAGUGGCGAAGGCGACUCGCUGGACAAGUAUUGACGCUGAGGUGCGAAAGCGUGGGGAGCAAACAGG